GACGAACGCUGGCGGCGUGCCUAAUACAUGCAAGUUGAGCGCUGAAGGUUGGUACUUGUACCGACUGGAUGAGCAGCGAACGGGUGAGUAACGCGUGGGGAAUCUGCCUUUGAGCGGGGGACAACAUUUGGAAACGAAUGCUAAUACCGCAUAAAAACUUUAAACACAAGUUUUAAGUUUGAAAGAUGCAAUUGCAUCACUCAAAGAUGAUCCCGCGUUGUAUUAGCUAGUUGGUGAGGUAAAGGCUCACCAAGGCGAUGAUACAUAGCCGACCUGAGAGGGUGAUCGGCCACAUUGGGACUGAGACACGGCCCAAACUCCUACGGGAGGCAGCAGUAGGGAAUCUUCGGCAAUGGACGAAAGUCUGACCGAGCAACGCCGCGUGAGUGAAGAAGGUUUUCGGAUCGUAAAACUCGGUUGGUGGAGAAGAACGUUGGUGAGAGUGGAAAGCUCAUCAAGUGACGGUAACUACCCAGAAAGGGACGGCUAACUACGUG
rnacentral:rRNA from 1 species